rnacentral:rRNA from 1 species
UGCGUAACGCGUAUGCAACUUACCUCUAACAGGAGAAUAGCCUUUCGAAAGGAAGAAUAAAACUCCAUAAUAUUUAUUUGUGGCAUCACAGAUUUAUUAAAACUACGGUGGUUAGAGAUAGGCAUGCGUCCUAUUAGCUAGUUGGUGAGGUAACAGCUCACCAAGGCGAUGAUAGGUAGGGGGCCUGAGAGGGUUAUCCCCCACACUGGUACUGAGACACGGACCAGACUCC